CGGGUAUCACUUACAGAUGGACCCGCGGCGCAUUAGCUAGUUGGUGAGGGUAACGGCUCACCAAGGGCGACGAUGUGUAGCCGACUUGAGAGGGUGAUCGGCCACACCUGGGGACUGAGACACGGCCCAGACUCCUACCGGGAGGCAGCAGUAGGGAAUCUUCCGCAAUGGACGAAAGUCUGACGGAGCAACGCCGCGUGAGUGAUGAAGGUUUUCGGAUCGUAAAACUCUGUUGUUAGGGAAGAACAAGUAUCGUUCGAAUAGGGCGGUACCUUGACGGUACCUAACCAGAAAGCCACGGCUAACUACGUGCCAGCAGCCGCGGUAAUACGUAGGUGGCAAGCGUUGUCCGGAAUUAUUGGGCGUAAAGCGCGCGCAGGCGGUUUCUUAAGUCUGAUGUGAAAUCUUGCGGCUCAACCGCAAGCGGCCAUUGGAAACUGGGAGACUUGAGUGCAGAAGAGGAGAGUGGAAUUCCACGUGUAGCGGUGAAAUGCGUAGAGAUGUGGAGGAACACCAGUGGCGAAGGCGACUCUCUGGUCUGUAACUGACGCUGAGGCGCGAAAGCGUGGGGAGCGAACAGGAUUAGAUACCCUGGUAGUCCACGCCGUAAACGAUGAGUGCUAAGUGUUAGAGGGUUUCCGCCCUUUAGUGCUGCAGCUAACGCAUUAAGCACUCCGCCUGGGGAGUACGGCCGCAAGGCUGAAACUCAAAGGAAUUGACGGGGGCCCGCACAAGCGGUGGAGCAUGUGGUUUAAUUCGAAGCAACGCGAAGAACCUUACCAGUUCUUGACAUCCUCUUGACCUCCCUAGAGAUAGGGAUUUCCCUUCGGGGACAGGAGUGACAGGUGGUGCAUGGUUGUCGUCAGCUCGUGUCGUGAGAUGUUGGGUUAAGUCCCGCAACGAGCGCAACCCUUGACCUUAGUUGCCAGCAUUCAGUUGGGCACUCUAAGGUGACUGCCGGUGACAAACCGGAGGAAGGUGGGGAUGACGUCAAAUCAUCAUGCCCCUUAUGACCUGGGCUACACACGUGCUACAAUGGAUGGUACAAAGGGCUGCAAGACCGCGAGGUUUAGCCAAUCCCCAUAAAACCAUUCUCAGUGUCGGAUUGUAGGGCUGCAACUCGCCUACAUGAAGCCCGG
rnacentral:rRNA from 2 species